rnacentral:tRNA from 1 species
GCCCCUGUAGCUCAGGUGGAUAGAGCGCCAGCCUCCGGAGCUGGAAGCGAGCGUUCGAGUCGCUCCAGGGGCA